rnacentral:rRNA from 1 species
UUGGAGGGCAAGUCUGGUGCCAGCAGCCCGCCGUAAUUCCAGCUCCAAUAGCGUAUAUUAAAGUUGUUGCAGUUAAAAAGCUCGUAGCUGAAUUUCGGGAUCAAUAUAUCGGUCGUGCCAUCGGUACGUACUGGUAUCAUUGGUUUCUCCUUUCUGACGAACCAUGAUGUCAUUAAUUUGGUGUUAUGGGAAGUUAGGACUGUUACUUUGAAAAAAUUAGAGUGUUUAAAGCAGGCUUUAGCUUGAAUACAUUAGCAUGGAAUAAUGAAAUAGGACGUUUGAUUCUAUUUUGUUGGUUUCUAGGAUCGACGUAAUGAUUAAUAGGGAUAGUUGGGGGCAUUAGUAUUCAAUUGUCAGAGGUGAAAUUCUUGGAUUUAUUGAAGACUAACUACUGCGAAAGCAUUUGCCAAGGAUGUUUUCAUUAAUCAAGAACGAAAGUUAGGGGAUCGAAGACGAUCAGAUACCGUCGUAGUCUUAACCAUAAACUAUGCCGACUAGGGAUCGGAUGAUGUUAAUUUUUUAAUGACUCAUUCGGCGCCUUACGGGAAAC